rnacentral:rRNA from 1 species
UACAGAGGUCCCAAGCGUUGCUCGGAAUCACUGGGCGUAAAGGGUGCGUAGGCGGGUCUUUUAAGUCAGGGGGUGAAAUCCUGGAGCUCAACUCCAGAACUGCCUUUGAUACUGAAGAUCUUGAGUUCGGGAGAGGUGAGUGGAACUGCGAGUGUAGAGGUGAAAUUCGUAGAUAUUCGCAAGAACACCAGUGGCGAAGGCGGCUCACUGGCCCAAUACUGACACUCAGGUGCGACAC